AGACGGAGGGGGCUAGCGUUGUUCGGAUUUACUGGGCGUAAAGGGCGCGUAGGCGGAUUAGUAAGUCGGGAGUGAAAGCCCGGGGCUCAACCUCGGAACUGCUUUCAAAACUGCUAGUCUAGAGUGAAGUAGGGGGUGAUGGAAUUCCUAGUGUAGAGGUGAAAUUCUUAGAUAUUAGGAGGAACACCGGUGGCGAAGGCGGUCACCUGGACUUCAACUGACGCUGAGGCGCGAAAGCGUGGGGAGCAAACAGGAUUAGAUACCCUAGUAGUCC
rnacentral:rRNA from 1 species